AGCGAACGCUGGCGGCAGGCUUAACACAUGCAAGUCGAGCGGGCAUCCUUGUGGUGUCAGCGGCAGACGGGUGAGUAGCGCGUGGGAACGUGCCCUUCGGUUCGGAAUAACUCAGGGAAACUUGAGCUAAUACCGGAUACGUGCGAGAGCAGAAAGGUUUAUCUGCCGAAGGAUCGGCCCGCGUCUGAUUAGCUAGUUGGUGAGGUUACGGCUCACCAAGGCGACGAUCAGUAGCUGGUCUGAGAGGAUGAUCAGCCACACUGGGACUGAGACACGGCCCAGACUCCUACGGGAGGCAGCAGUGGGGAAUAUUGGACAAUGGGGGCAACCCUGAUCCAGCCAUGCUGCGUGAGUGAUGACGGCCUUAGGGUUGUAAAGCUCUUUUCUCCGGGACGAUAAUGACGGUACCGGAGGAAUAAGCCCCGGCUAACUUCGUG
rnacentral:rRNA from 1 species